rnacentral:lncRNA from 1 species
GGGUCCCGUGGAAGAGGAACUGGGCCGGGCUGAGGAUAGACUGGGGGGCCCUGUGAUGACACCUACUGAUAUAGUGGGGGCACCGGAUUAUACUGUGGCGGUGCCAGGCAAUAUUGUGGCUGAGGCAUCAGAUUAUACUGCGGCGGUGGUGCCGGGUGGUACUGUGGAGGAACAGGCUCUUGCCGGGGUGGCUCAGGAUCC